rnacentral:sRNA from 1 species
AUUUGAUGAAUUGAACUCCAAGUUUUUUUUUAUCCAUAAUUUCUCGUAAUACAAAUAUAAAAGCGGAUAACAUGACGCGAAAAAUUUGUACUGAACCGUUUCAUAUCACUUAUAUAAACAAUAU